AACUUUUGGCAAUGGAUCACUUGGCUCUCGCAUCGAUGAAGAACGCAGCGAAUUGCGAUAAGUAAUGUGAAUUGCAGAAUCCAGUGAAUCAUCGAAUCUUUGAACGCACCUUGCACUCUUUGGUAUUCCGAAGAGUAUGCCUGUUUGAGUGUCUUGAAUAACUCAUCUAUAUUAUUUUAUAUAGACGGUUUUGAACCCGCCGGUGAAGUUAUCUUCGGUCGGCUCGUUUCAAAUGUAUUAGCUUGAAACUACUUGUAUUGAUAUGUUCUAAACGUCAUAAUUUAUUUCGUUGACAGUGUUGAAAAUACAAUUGGGAUCUGCUUCCAACUUGUAUUCUAUGAAUUCACCUAUACAUUUUGACCUCAAAUCAGGUAGGACUACCCGCUGAACUUAAGCAUAUCAAUAAGCGGAGGCU
rnacentral:misc_RNA from 1 species